AUCCUUCAUCUGGUUAGGGAGACACUGUAAUCACGAAGGUGGUUUUCCUAGGGCAAGGCUUAGCCAUUGCACUCCGGAUGUGUUGACCCCUGUGAUUUCCCCAAAUGUGGGAAACUCGACCACAUAAUUUGUGGUCGUGAGGGACUGCAUUCGCGCUUUACCUAC